ACGAGACAACGGUUUCGGCGAAUACCCGGCACCGCCGCAGCCGUUCGGGAGGCCUUGAGGGUGACCUCAGGGCCUCUCUCUUUUU
rnacentral:sRNA from 1 species